GACGAACGCUGGCGGCGUGCUUAACACAUGCAAGUCGAACGGUGAUGCUCCAGCUUGCUGGAGUGGAUCAGUGGCGAACGGGUGAGUAACACGUGAGCAACCUGCCCCAGACUCUGGAAUAAGCGCUGGAAACGGCGUCUAAUACUGGAUACGAAACUGGCCCGCAUGGGCAUGGUUUGGAAAGUUUUUCGGUUUGGGAUGGGCUCGCGGCCUAUCAGCUUGUUGGUGAGGUAAUGGCUCACCAAGGCGACGACGGGUAGCCGGCCUGAGAGGGCGACCGGCCACACUGGGACUGAGACACGGCCCAGACUCCUACGGUAGGCAGCAGUGGGGAAUAUUGCACAAUGGGCGAAAGCCUGAUGCAGCGACGCCGCGUGAGGGAUGACGGCCUUCGGGUUGUAAACCUCUUUCAGCAGGGAAGAAGCGAAAGUGACGGUACCUGCAGAAGAAGCACCGGCUAACUACGUG
rnacentral:rRNA from 1 species